UACGUAGGGGGGCAAGCGUUGUCCGGAUUUAUUGGGCGUAAAGAGCGUGUAGGCGGUUUGGUAGGUCCGCUGUGAAAACUCGAGGCUCAACCUCGAGACGCCGGUGGAAACCAUCAGACUAGAGUCCGGAAGAGGAGAGUGGAAUUCCUGGUGUAGCGGUGAAAUGCGCAGAUAUCAGGAAGAACACCCGUGGCUAAGGCGGCUCACUGGCCCGAUACUGACGCUGAUGCACGAAAGCGUGGGGGAGCAAACAGG
rnacentral:rRNA from 1 species